GUGUUGAAGAAUCAAAAACUUUAUAGGACCAACACACCAGCAUUGUCUUCUUAGUCAAUGUCAACAAUGGUGAAUUAUGCAAAAUUGAAGCAAUUAAAAGGCUAGAAAAAUCUUCAAUCUCCUUCAUCUUCAUGACUUGAUUUUCUCUAAUUUCUAAUAUUGUCUCCAUGAAUUAUUUUUCCUCAAAUUCCAUUGGAAUCUCUAGAACAUGACAAUUUUUGUUCCCUAUGACACAUUCCUCAAACUUUUCGUCUUCAAACAUAGCAAAGGGAAAUACACUUAAAGCUUCUAUUUCCAAGUCUUUGACAUUGGUCUCCUCAACUUCAAGUUGAGUU
rnacentral:misc_RNA from 1 species